rnacentral:rRNA from 1 species
AACGAACGCUGGCGGCAGGCUUAACACAUGCAAGUCGAACGCGUGUAGCAAUACACGAGUGGCGCACGGGUGAGUAACGCGUGGAUAUCUGCCUUUUGGUUCGGAAUAACUCCGGGAAACUGGAGCUAAUACCGGAUGGUUCCUUCGGGAUAAAGAUUUAUCGCCAAAAGAUGAGUCCGCGUACGAUUAGCUAGUUGGUGAGGUAAUGGCUCACCAAGGCGACGAUCGUUAGCUGGUCUGAGAGGACGAUCAGCCACACUGGGACUGAGACACGGCCCAGACUCCUACGGGAGGCAGCAGUGGGGAAUAUUGGACAAUGGGGGCAACCCUGAUCCAGCCAUGCCGCGUGAGUGAUGAAGGCCUUCGGGUUGUAAAGCUCUUUUGGCGGGGACGAUGAUGACGGUACCCGCAGAAUAAGCCCCGGCUAACUUCGUGCCAGCAGCCGCCGCCG